AGAGUUUGAUCCUGGCUUAGGAUGAACGCAGUUACAGGCUUAACACAUGCAAGUCGAGGGGCAGCAGGAAUCUAGCUUGCUAGAUUUGCUGGCGACCGGCGCACGGGUGGGUAACGCGUAUCCAACCUUCCCCUUAGUAGGGCAUAGCCCGUAGAAAUGCGGAUUAAUACCCUAUGUUAUUCGUCGAGGACAUCUGAAGUGAAUCAAAGGUUUACCGCUAAGGGAUGGGGAUGCGUCUGAUUAGGCAGCAGGCGGGGUAACGGCCCACCUGGCCGACGAUCAGUAGGGGUUCUGAGAGGAAGGUCCCCCACAUUGGAACUGAGACACGGUCCAAACUCCUACGGGAGGCAGCAGUGAGGAAUAUUGGUCAAUGGUCGAGAGACUGAACCAGCCAAAGUAGCGUGCAGGACGACGGCCCUAUGGGUUGUAAACUGCUUUUAUGCGGGGAUAAAGUGAGGGACGUGUCCCUUUUUGUAGGUACCGCAUGAAUAAGGACCGGCUAAUUCCGUGCCAGCCGCCGC
rnacentral:rRNA from 1 species